rnacentral:misc_RNA from 1 species
AGCGCGCGCGCGACUCUCCAUGGCGAUUGGCGAAGCUGUUUUUCCGGUGGCACUGCAACGUGGCAGUGCAUCGUGAUCCGUGCUCUUUUUGUCUGAAUAAUUGUGAAUAAUAUUUGUACGUCUUUUAUUUUAAUAUCUAUUUUUUAUUCAAUUUUUUUGUUCACGAAAAAAAAAAAAAAAAAAAAAAUUGAGCGAUGAACUUACGGAUGAUACGUGCCACGCCCCAGUGCCAAGAGUUGUGUGUGUUUCUGUGUGUAGAUAAAAGAAACAUGUAUAUAUAAAAAAGAAAGUACAUGUAAGUACAUAUAAGUACCAACUUGCAUCUCUACAUACAGCUACUUGCAUCUCUACUUGCAUCUUUAGUGAGAAGUGACUACGAACAAGCGCUCGUAUAAUUUUCAUCGCAUUCAUUCGCUCAUGGACUCCAUAAAACUAAACUUGGCUAAUUAAAAAAAUAUAUUAAAUUAUUUACAAAAAUUUUCGACGUUUUAUAUUAUUAUUAAUAAAACAAUUUGUGUACAACGAUGAGGUUAUUUUUUGUUGAUUUAAAAAAAAAUAGUGAUUAUAAAAAACGUGUUAAAAAAAAAAAUAGCAUAUCUAUGAAUCAUUGGAGUUUCUAUGUGGAACGAAUGGAGUUGUGGGGACAAAAUUUUUUCGACAGAAAAGUUCGGAGGCUAGCCGUAUUUUUCAUAUUAAACUCAAUUUUAAACCAAUUUGCGCAUUCGUAGGAAUUUUUUCCGUAUUUUUCUCGUGAUCCUGAGAAAAUUUCCUAUAAGAAACCAACAAAAAAAUUAAAUUGUGCAUGUGAUGAACAGUAUGCCGGCCAAAAGCAAGCAUCAUCAUUAUUAAAAAACGCAUCAUCAACAACAUCAUCAGCAAACGCAACACAUUAGAAGCCAAGCUGGAGUAACCUGCACACCACAAUCUUAUAACACCGCUGUAGCCAAUCGUACAUACGUCACUCAUGCCUUGGAGAAUGGGGAUGAACUAACGGAUGUUACGUGUCGCGCCUCUUGGCCUAGCAACACCAGUGCUAAAAGUUGUGUGUGUUUAUGUGUGUAGAUAAUACAUGUAUACAUAAAAAAAGUACAUGUAGAGUGAGUGCCGAGUGGUGUUUGAACUGUAAAGUGUGUAAACUGUCUUUUCAAAUUUCAUCGUCGUCGCUCAUCGACUUGCAUCGACUCCCAUAAAACAUAACUUGGCUAUGGCUAGUUAAAAAAAUAUAUUAAAUUAUUUAAAGAAAUUUCUAACGUUUAAUAUUAUUAUUAACAAAACGGGUUGUGUAAAACAACGAUGAGGAUAGUUUUUUUUUUAUUUAAAAUAAAUAUAGUGAUUAUAAAAAACGUCUCUAUGUGGAACGAUAGGAGUUGUGAUGCUAAAAUUUUUUAGUUAUAAGUUAUAAGUAAUAAAAGUUCGGAGGCUAAAUUGUGUUUGUGAGCAGUAUGCCGGCCAAAUAUCAUGAUCAACAAUCGCAGCAGAAACAACUACAGCAACAUCAUCAUCAAGAACAGCAGCAGCAUAAUCAGCAAACCCAACAUAUUUUAUAACACCGCUGUAGCCAAUCGUGCAUACGUCACUCAUGCCAUGAUGUUAAUCGAUAUGCAAAAAUUCCUUGGAAAGACGUCAAGGUUGGUGACCUUAUACAUUUAUCAAACAAUGAAAUUGUACCAGCUGAUUUAUUGUUAUUACGAAGCAGUGAUCCUCAGGGUUUUGCACUUUUGGAUAAUUGUAAUUUAGACGGUAAAACAAAUCUUAAACAACGACAAGUUGUUAAAGGAUUUUUAGAUAUUCAAGAUACAUUUCAACCAUCAAAAUUUCGCUCAGUUGUUGAAGUUGAUCAAUCAAGCACAAAAAUUUACAGGUUUUAUGGAGCUGUUGUACAUCCAAAUGGUACCAGAGUACCAGUGACAACUGAAAAUAUUUUAUUACGUGAAUGUUUAUUAAAAAAUACGGAUUUCAUCGAGGGAAUUGUUGUUUAUGCUGGUCACGAAACAAAAGCUAUGCUAAACAAUGGUGGUCCACGUUAUAAACGUUCAAGAUUAGAACGACAAAUGAAUCUUGAUAUAAUAUGGUGUGUUUUGAUACUAAUUGUAUUGUGUAUUGUUGGAGCUGUUGGUUGUAAAUUAUGGCUAUCAACAUUUAAAACAACUACCUCUGAGCCUUUUUCGUCAGAUUUUAGUAAUUCAAAUUACGAGGGUAUAUUAACAUUUUUAACAUUUGUUAUAAUACUUCAAGUUAUGAUACCACUUAGUUUAUAUGUUACAAUGGAAAUGGCUAAAGUUGGACAAGUUUAUCAUAUUGGUCAUGAUACUGAACUUCAUGAUCCUGAAACUGGACGUAAAGCUGAAUGUCGAGCUUUAAAUAUCACUGAAGAAUUGGGUCAGAUACAAUAUGUAUUCUCAGACAAAACUGGAACAUUGACAGAAAAUAAAAUGAUAUUUCGAAGGUGUAUUGUUGGUGGUCAAGAUUACACAGCCACAUCGUGACAUCAUGAAUUCAAGCGGGAAAAAUCGACACUGUUGUGCCACAAUAUGCACGCAAAGAGAAGGAGAAGGAGAACGAUUAUGGCUGAAAAAUAGUUAUAGUUGAAUAAUUUCAAGACCAAGUACCAAGUCAGGACUAUAGUUGGCUUUGAUGGUCCAGCAACGAAAAUUCGUAUUUACUUUUCUUUAAUGUCAUCGAGUGCUGAUG